rnacentral:misc_RNA from 1 species
UCUCCGUAGGUGAACCUGCGGAGGGAUCACUACAGGCUUGCAAAAGCUCUGAAACCACUGUUUAUCUACCUGAAUCUGCUUCGGCGGGCGGCCCCAGGGCGGGGCCGUAGCCGCAAGGCGCCCGCCGAAGACCCCUAAACUCUGUCGUCUUAGAAUCUCUGAGUAAUUAUAUUAAACAAAAACAACUUUCAACAACGGAUCUCUUGGCUCUG